rnacentral:lncRNA from 1 species
AUGCAGCGUCCACGUGGGCUCGUCUUCAUCGCCACAGCUCAACGGUCCCUUGCUGAGGUGAAGCCAGACGCUAACGUGAAGCUGGUCCUGGAUCUGUCAGCAGCGAGGCCGCAGAUCGAGACACGAGCCAGUCCAAGUUCCUGGUAUGUCAACAAGGUGCCUGAGGGGGGCGCUGGUGAGCCGACAAGGCCAAAAGCUGUUGAAACGAAAUAUUGGAAGAAGCCCCGGCGCUCGCGAGCAACACUUAUAUUAAUGCUUUUUAGUUUAAUUGUUUUGUUGUUGUUGUUUUUAAAUCUGCUUUUGAUCACCACAAUUUGGUGUUGGGAACAUUUAUUUUAGAGAGUGAAAUAAGAAUGAAAAUAAAUAUGCAAUGUCGUCCGAUAAUUAGCAUGAUGCCAUGUGAUUGUCAUUACACUCUGUCAACAUUCCCUGUUAAAUUUGCCUAAUCUACAAAAGGAAUGGAGUCACUGGCCGAACCAGUCAGGACUACGGCGAUGAAUUCGAAACCCAGAUCUCUUGGUCUCAAAGUACGUUGGGGAGAGAAAGUAGGAAGGAAAGCAAACGGAACGCGUGAAGAUAAACGCAUCCUGUUGCAGUCACAGCAUGUUUGUUGACAUGCGUAAAGGACAAGAUCCUGAUGCAACAGGAUCACCUGCGAGAGCUUUGUUUGCUCUUGCACUGAACUCUUGAGCAAAUGUGUCUAAUUAUGUUGGACAGAGAGGUUUGUGUUCGCUAGCAAGCUCUGAGCAAACACCAACUCCAGCCAAUUCAAACGCAAACGAACAGAAGAAAUUGAAUAUUCCCGAGAGAGAAAACAUGAUACAUUACUCUAUACACACACACACAUACAGUAUAUGUUCAGCUCAUACCCAGGUGAGUGCAUACCUGUGCGUGACAUUAACCAAAGCAACAGAAUUAGCUCUUCCCCUUUUUACAUUUUAUCCCAGUGAUGUGAAAAAUGGCGCUUGUUCACACACAUUUAGUGAGGAUAAGAGUAAGGAAAUGUAGGCCUACCGUUGCUAUGAACACAAACAAACCUUUCUCCACUGGCCCCAUCUUCCCCCACGUGUUCGCGCUAAUGUUUUCCGGCCUGGGUGCUUAGCAACGAAGCCACGUUAUUUCUCCCUUUUUUCUCUCCCCGGGACAGCUUCGCCCUGCUCAGGUUGUAUUGUGACGGUCUACUUUUCCUUUUUUUCCUCCCUCUGAGCCCCGACUUCCGACACUCUGGGGACCACACAAGGUGGGAAUCUGGGGCCGCUUCUCCCACGUCAGCGCUCCCAACGUCACGUGUCCCUGUUACCUUUACGCGUCAUAUCGCGAUAGCCCACGUGACUGGCUGUUUCCUGACCCGGGA